AUCCCAUGAUGAGGACAUGCGGCCACAUAUUACUGCUGACGUUCCCAUGCUUCGGGAAUCGAUUCAUCCCUUGUCUACUGGAAGCUUGAAAUCCUUCCGCGAAGGGC
rfam:Oryza meridionalis cultivar OR44 (W2112) chromosome 8, whole genome shotgun sequence.